rnacentral:rRNA from 1 species
GUGGGGAAUCUUAGACAAUGGGGGAAACCCUGAUCUAGCCAUGCCGCGUGAUCGAUGAAGGCCUUAGGGUUGUAAAGAUCUUUCAGCUGGGAAGAUAAUGACGGUACCAGCAGAAGAAGCCCCGGCUAACUCCGUGCCAGCAGCCGCGGUAAUACGGAGGGGGCUAGCGUUGUUCGGAAUUACUGGGCGUAAAGCGCACGUAGGCGGAUUGGAAAGUUGGGGGUGAAAUCCCGGGGCUCAACCCCGGAACUGCCUUCAAAACUCCCAGUCUUGAGGUCGAGAGAGGUGAGUGGAAUUCCGAGUGUAGCGGUGAAAUGCGUAGAUAUCGGGAGGAACACCAGUGGCGAAGGCGGCUUCCUGGCACAAUACUGACGCUCAUGUGCGAAAGCUAGGGCAGCGAACGGGAUUAGAUACCCUUGUAGUCC